rnacentral:rRNA from 2 species
AAAUUGAAGAGUUUGAUCAUGGCUCAGAUUGAACGCUGGCGGCAGGCCUAACACAUGCAAGUCGAACGGUAACAGGAAGCAGCUUGCUGCUUCGCUGACGAGUGGCGGACGGGUGAGUAAUGUCUGGGAAACUGCCUGAUGGAGGGGGAUAACUACUGGAAACGGUGGCUAAUACCGCAUAACGUCGCAAGACCAAAGAGGGGGACCUUCGGGCCUCUUGCCAUCAGAUGUGCCCAGAUGGGAUUAGCUAGUUGGUGAGGUAACGGCUCACCAAGGCGACGAUCCCUAGCUGGUCUGAGAGGAUGACCAGCCACACUGGAACUGAGACACGGUCCAGACUCCUACGGGAGGCAGCAGUGGGGAAUAUUGCACAAUGGGCGCAAGCCUGAUGCAGCCAUGCCGCGUGUAUGAAGAAGGCCUUCGGGUUGUAAAGUACUUUCAGCGGGGAGGAAGGUGUUGUGGUUAAUAACCGCAGCAAUUGACGUUACCCGCAGAAGAAGCACCGGCUAACUCCGUGCCAGCAGCCGCGGUAAUACGGAGGGUGCAAGCGUUAAUCGGAAUUACUGGGCGUAAAGCGCACGCAGGCGGUCUGUCAAGUCGGAUGUGAAAUCCCCGGGCUCAACCUGGGAACUGCAUUCGAAACUGGCAGGCUUGAGUCUUGUAGAGGGGGGUAGAAUUCCAGGUGUAGCGGUGAAAUGCGUAGAGAUCUGGAGGAAUACCGGUGGCGAAGGCGGCCCCCUGGACAAAGACUGACGCUCAGGUGCGAAAGCGUGGGGAGCAAACAGGAUUAGAUACCCUGGUAGUCCACGCCGUAAACGAUGUCUACUUGGAGGUUGUGCCCUUGAGGCGUGGCUUCCGGAGCUAACGCGUUAAGUAGACCGCCUGGGGAGUACGGCCGCAAGGUUAAAACUCAAAUGAAUUGACGGGGGCCCGCACAAGCGGUGGAGCAUGUGGUUUAAUUCGAUGCAACGCGAAGAACCUUACCUGGUCUUGACAUCCACAGAAGAAUCCAGAGAUGGAUUUGUGCCUUCGGGAACUGUGAGACAGGUGCUGCAUGGCUGUCGUCAGCUCGUGUUGUGAAAUGUUGGGUUAAGUCCCGCAACGAGCGCAACCCUUAUCCUUUGUUGCCAGCGGUCCGGCCGGGAACUCAAAGGAGACUGCCAGUGAUAAACUGGAGGAAGGUGGGGAUGACGUCAAGUCAUCAUGGCCCUUACGACCAGGGCUACACACGUGCUACAAUGGCGCAUACAAAGAGAAGCGACCUCGCGAGAGCAAGCGGACCUCAUAAAGUGCGUCGUAGUCCGGAUUGGAGUCUGCAACUCGACUCCAUGAAGUCGGAAUCGCUAGUAAUCGUGGAUCAGAAUGCCACGGUGAAUACGUUCCCGGGCCUUGUACACACCGCCCGUCACACCAUGGGAGUGGGUUGCAAAAGAAGUAGGUAGCUUAACCUUCGGGAGGGCGCUUACCACUUUGUGAUUCAUGACUGGGGUGAAGUCGUAACAAGGUAACCGUAGGGGAACCUGCGGUUGGAUCACCUCCUUACCUUAAAGAA